rnacentral:rRNA from 1 species
CAGCAGCCACGGGAAUACAGAGGGUGCGAGCGUUAAUCGGAUUUACUGGGCGUAAAGCGUGCGUAGGCGGCUUCUUAAGUCGGAUGUGAAAUCCCUGAGCUUAACUUAGGAAUUGCAUUCGAUACUGGGAAGCUAGAGUAUGGGAGAGGAUGGUAGAAUUCCAGGUGUAGCGGUGAAAUGCGUAGAGAUCUGGAGGAAUACCGAUGGCGAAGGCAGCCAUCUGGCCUAAUACUGACGCUGAGGUACGAAAGCAUGGGGAGCAAACAGGAUUAGAUACCCCAGUAGUCCCUGUCUCUUAUCC